UGAACUUGCAGAUGUCUUAACAGAGGC
rnacentral:piRNA from 2 species